rnacentral:ncRNA from 1 species
CUAGGAGGUGAGCGCUUCGGUCCGGGAGAUACCACCGGAUAAAAGGGAACGCGGUCCGCCCUGCGACAGGGCCCAUUCCGCGACUGCCCCCGCAACUGUAGGCGGAGAGCGAAGCCGGACAAAGCCACUGUGGCGCCUCACGGCCCGCGGGAAGGCCCGGCCAAGCAGCGACCCGCAAGUCAGGAGACCUGCCGAAGUGUUCACCCAGUC